AACGAACGCUGGCGGUAGGCCUAACACAUGCAAGUCGAGCGAGGACUUCGGUCCUAGCGGCGGACGGGUGAGUAACGCGUGGGAACGUGCCCUUUGCUUCGGAAUAGCCCUGGGAAACUGGGAGUAAUACCGGAUGAGCCCUUUGGGGGAAAGAUUUAUCGGCGAAGGAUCGGCCCGCGUUGGAUUAGGUAGUUGGUGGGGUAAUGGCCUACCAAGCCGACGAUCCAUAGCUGGUUUGAGAGGAUGAUCAGCCACACUGGGACUGAGACACGGCCCAGACUCCUACGGGAGGCAGCAGUGGGGAAUCUUAGACAAUGGGGGAAACCCUGAUCUAGCCAUGCCGCGUGAGCGAUGAAGGCCUUAGGGUUGUAAAGCUCUUUCAGCUGGGAAGAUAAUGACGGUACCAGCAGAAGAAGCCCCGGCUAACUCCGUG
rnacentral:rRNA from 1 species